GAGAGAGAGAGAGAGAGAGAGCUCCAAGGCCCUGAGAAAUGUUGGUCACCGGGCAAACUAACAGGAAAUCUUUGAACUAGUUAAUAUUCAUUCUGGGUUUCUGAUUAGAGCUGCUAUGAAUUUUUUCUUUUCUGCAAAAAAAAUAUAAGGAAAAAAAAAUCCUUGGAUAAUAGAUUGAUGCUAUUUGCUUUGCAGCCCCGUGGAGUAUUCACUGGCAACGCCUAUAAAAUUUUAUGAAAUUAGUUAUUUUAUGAUAUUAUCAAAAUCUUGAGUUGGCUU
rnacentral:misc_RNA from 1 species